UCUUAGUCUCGUCGAGCGUUUAACGCAGGUAAAGCGUUUAAAUUUUCUUUUCUUGGCAACCCAAAUUGUGGGAAAAGUCUGAUAUAAAAUAUGUGCGCCAAUAACAAGGGUCGUAGCAUAAAAAUGAAAUGAAAAAAAUCAGUAUACUUUAUUGUUUUACGGGUAUCGAAUUGCCUUUUGCAUAACAUCAAUAUAAAUUGUGAAAUAAAAUGACUUAGCAUCAGACGCCUUGCAAGGGGUAUUAUAUGUUAUUUUCUAACAAAUUGUGCAAUAUAUUUUGGGGAUUGCUUUAAGAAUUAAAUAAGGCUUCGAUUAAAUUUAAUUCACAAUUUAGGUGACAGUCUGUUAAAUUCAAGACACUUUGCCAGAGCCAAUUAAAUGCAUGGAAUUUGCAUAUUUGAUAAGCACUUGGUCAACUAAUUAGUGGAAUUUACAGCUACGAGUGCGAGUGCUCGCAUAAAAUCAAGUUAUUAUUCGAAUUGAUGCAGUCCGAGAUAACAAGACAAAAGUGAGCAACUGAACAUUAAAAUUCAAAAGUAAAUAGCUAACGAAUCAAAGAAAUGGCCAGAAAUAGAAUUGAAAUUCAAAACCAUAAAACCAAAAAGUGAGCAAGUUUCUGGCAGAGCGGAAAACAUUCGGGAAAGUUAAUAAAGCCAAGGAUAAGCACUCCAGCUCUGCCCUGAUGACAACUUGACGUAGCAGAAGCUGAAGCAGCCACAGUAGCAUCAUCAUCAACAUCUCAUCUCAUCAUCUCGCAACCGCAGAGCUCAGUGAUGCGACAAGCUGAGGACGCGAAAGGCGGGUUUAUUUUUAUUUUUUUAAUAAGUCAAAAGAAAAUAAGUAAGUAUGAAGUCAUUCCCGUUGCCAACUGUCAACACAGCUCUGAUGAUGAAGAUGAAGAAGGCAGUUGUUGUUAUGGUGAAGGAAUUUUCUACAAUUUCGUGACAGAUCAACGCCUUUUAGAUUUCGCUGAAGUAAUUUAAUAUAUGCAACUGUCACAGCUACAAACUCAAUCAAAUAAACGUGAAUAUGCGAGUCGA